AGGCUAGUGUUAGUUAUCUUUAUUGGGUUUAAAGGGUAAGUAGACGGUAAAUUAAACUCUAAACGAGUACUUUUUUACUAGAGUUAUAUGAGAGAAGGAAGAAUUUCUGGAGUAGAGAUAAAAUUUGAUGAUACCAGGAGGACUGUCAACGGCGAAGGCGUCCUUCUAUGUAAUAACUGACGUUGAGAGACGAAGGCUUGGGUAGCAAACAGGAUUAGAUACCCUAAUAGUCCAAGCAGACAAUGAUGAAUGUCAUACAUUAGAUAUAUAUUUAAUGUAUAAACGAAAGUGUAAGCAUUCCACCUCAAGAGUACUAUGGCAA
rnacentral:rRNA from 1 species